GACGAACGCUGGCGGCGUGCCUAAUACAUGCAAGUCGAACGCAGUGGGGACGGGUGAGUAACACGUGGGUAACCUCCCAUCAGAGGGGAUAACACUUGGAAAAAGGUGCUAAAGCGAUACGGAUGGAUGGACCCGCGGGGCAUUAGCUAGUGGGUGAGGUAACGGCUCACCAAGGCCACGAUGCAUAGCCGACCUGAGAGUGUGAUCAGCCACACUGGGACUUAGACACGGCCCAGACUCCUACGGGAGGCAGCAGUAGUGAAUCUUCGGCAAUGGACGAAAGUCUGACCGAGCAACGCCGCGUGAGUGAAGAAGGUUUUCGGAUCGUAAAACUCUGUUGUUAGAGAAGCGGUAUCUAACCAGAAAGCCACGGCUAACUACGUGCCAGCAGCCGCGGUAAUUC
rnacentral:rRNA from 1 species